rnacentral:rRNA from 1 species
GACGAACGCUGGCGGCGUGCUUAACACAUGCAAGUCGAACGGAAAGGCCCUGCUUUCGUGGGGUGCUCGAGUGGCGAACGGGUGAGUAACACGUGAGUAACCUGCCCUAGACUUUGGGAUAACUUCAGGAAACUGGGGCUAAUACCGGAUAGGAGCUCCUGCUGCAGGGUGGGGGUUGGAAAGUUUCGGCGGUUGGGGAUGGACUCGCGGCUUACCAGCUUGUUGGUGGGGUAGUGGCUUACCAAGGCUUUGACGGGUAGCCGGCCUGAGAGGGUGACCGGCCACAUGGGGACUGAGAUACGGCCCAGACUCCUACGGGAGGCAGCAGUGGGGAAUAUUGCACAAUGGGCGGAAGCCGGAUGCAGCAACGCCGCGUGCGGGAUGACGGCCUUCGGGUUGUAAACCGCUUUCGCCUGUGACGAAGCGGGAGUGACGGUAAUGGGUAAAGAAGCACCGGCUAACUACGUG